UACAGAGGUCCCAAGCGUUGUUCGGAUUCAUUGGGCGUAAAGGGUGCGUAGGCGGCGCGGUAAGUCGGGUGUGAAAGUCUCGGAGCUUAACUCCGAAACUGCAUUCGAUACUGCCGUGCUUGAGGACUGGAGAGGAGACUGGAAUUUACGGUGUAGCGGUGAAAUGCGUAGAUAUCGUAAGGAAGACCAGUGGCGGAAGGCGGGUCUCUGGACAGUUCCUGACGCUGAGGCACGAAGGUCAGGGGAGCAAACGGG
rnacentral:rRNA from 1 species